rnacentral:rRNA from 1 species
ACGGGUGAGUAACGCGUGGUCAACCUUCCCUACAGUGGGGAUAACUAGCCGAAAGGUUAGCUAAUACCGCAUGACAUCUUUGAGAGGCAUCUUUUAAAGAUAAAAGGAGCAAUCCGCUGAAGGACGGGACCGCGUCCCAUUAGCUAGUUGGUGGGGUAAUGGCCUACCAAGGCAACGAUGGGUAGCUGGUUUGAGAGAGCGACCAGCCACACUGGGACUGAGACACGGCCCAG